AAUGCGAUGCCAUACGCAUGCGCACCACGAAAAACAACAUGUGAUUGCGGUAUUUAAGAAAUCAAAAAGUGCAAAUCUACAAGUCAAACACGGUGCUGCAGAACGAGAUAUAAGAAAACAGAAGUUAAUGGAGAAAGAGAAAAAAAUCUGAGUUUCAAGCUAAAUAGGAAAAUCUGACAAUAGAUACAGCGACGAAGAUAAAAACAACAGGAUUUUGAAGUUGUCAAAGUUUGUAUACCUAUUAUACAUAAUCGGACUAAAGAUGCUACAGACAGGAAUCUGUUAAAAUCCAUACGAGAAAAUAGAUAAUCCAUCCAGAACCCAAAAUAAUAAUGCUGAACCAUAAACUGGAAGGAUGUUUUUUAUUGCACCGAGAAUAAAGUGCAAUGAUCAUGAAGUGCAAUUAUUAAUCAUAAAAUUUAGGAAGGGAUCCCACAAGGCCGUUGAUAAAAUUUGGACGUCAAGAACAGUAAAAAUAACGUGUUCAUGUGCUCAGUUUUAAAAUAGUUCAAACACGAGAGAACUCGUUAGCGGUAUUUAUUUGAACAAGUCAAUUUGACGGCUCGUACUACUUAUUAACAUUUCGUUUGACCGAUUCUGUCCACAGUAACGCCAGUAAUGCGGUGGCGUACGCAUGCGCACCGCCGAAAGAAACAUGUGACUGCCAAUAUUUAGGAAAUGAAAAUAAUCGGCGGAUGCCGUGUUUACGAAAGCACACUUGUAAGCCCGAUUUUUCAAUGAAAAGUAAAAACGCGGAAGCCGCCAAGGUCCUGCAGGAGCCGCUUCCGGCACUUCCCGCAGGAACCGGCAGCAGAAGCAGCGCGCACUCGCGGCGGCAUGCCGUCACUCACCGUUAAUUAGGGGAUAGUUGUGUCCGGGGUGUCCGAGGAAGGAUUUGAGACCGCUUUCCAGUAAGUUGGGUGAGCUGCGGUCCUUGUAGCUCAUCUCACUGUCACUGUCACUGAAAUUGUAGAUUGAGCGCGGAAUUUUGGCGGCUUUUGAGUGGUGGGACACCACUCGACACUAUACCAUAAAAAAGGGCGACCGCACCAGAAGCGGACUUACUGCAUAAAUAAGACGAGGUUCGGCCAGCGGACCACCGCAAUCAAUUCGUACUAAAAUAGUUCGCUCCACGACGCGACAUUACUGCACUCUGGCGCGUCGACUUGCUACCGCCGCUCCGGGUUACAGUCCAAGGUUGAUAACGAUGCUGAUAAUGCUGAUAGAAAAUUACACAUGAUAGCCGGCAAUUAAACGAUGCUGUAAUACAUUACAACAUAACCAAUCUUCGUGUUCCUGCGAGCAUAUCUGACAUUUUUACUGAUGACGGCGCUUGCGCCCGGACUGCUGCAACCCACCUACCGACAGCUGAUAAACAGCAACCGGAGUCGGGAAUGGAAUUAGGCAAGCAACAAUACACCUAAUCACAUAUAACAAGAUGAUAAUUUGAUUUUCUUAGAUUAUUAUUUGUUCUAGAAGGAAAUGAAAUGGCCAACUUCUUUAUAGAAAGUUGCGCCUCAUCGCCAGGCUUUGUGGAAAACACCAAACAUAAUCAAAGCGAUAACAACAAAAAGAAAAAUCACGAAAAGCCUAGAGUGCCUACAGAAAUUUAAUUACCUUCUUUAAUUGACUAAAACUCACUAAAAAUGCUUCAAUUCACAGAAGGUUAACUUCUUAAAAUGGUUUUUCGUUUCUUAGAACUUAAUAAUAUUUUUAUUUAAAAACUCAGAAAAAGCGCCUGGCGCUUUUUUAUUUCUACCACCCCGAAGAUGUGCAUAUGUGAUUCGAUUGUUAAUACUUUAAGUCUAUGCAAAAUAUAGUGGGUAUACAUAUACACAUUCAGAUCAACAAAAGCAUAUUGAAAAUAACUCCAAACUCUUUAGAAUUCAUGACACAAAUUAGAUUAGUACGGAAUCAAAAAGAGGUUUGGAUGUAACAAGUCUUGAAUAAGUACUUAUUUAUUCUAAAAACGGUAGCUCAAACACCAAGUGUAGUGUUUACAUUUGUAUCAAAUAAAUGUAAAACGUUGUCGAGACACGUUUGCGUCAAA